rnacentral:rRNA from 1 species
UACGAAGGGGGCUAGCGUUGUUCGGAAUUACUGGGCGUAAAGCGCGCGUAGGCGGGCUGUUAAGUCGGGGGUGAAAUCCCGGGGCUCAACCCCGGAACUGCCUCCGAUACUGGCAGUCUUGAGUCCGAGAGAGGUGAGUGGAAUUCCGAGUGUAGAGGUGAAAUUCGUAGAUAUUCGGAGGAACACCAGUGGCGAAGGCGGCUCACUGGCUCGGUACUGACGCUGAGGUGCGAAAGCGUGGGGAGCAAAC